GAUGAACGCUGGCGGCGUGCUUAACACGUGCAAGUCGAACGAUGAAGCCCAGCUUGCUGGGUGGAUUAGUGGCGAACGAGCGAGUAAGUCAUGAGUAACCUGCCCGUAACUCUGGGGUAGGCCUGGGAAACUGGGUCUAAUUCCUGAUAGAUGAGUACACCGCAUAGUGGGUGUUGGAAAGAUUUAUCGGUUUUGGAUGGUCGCGCGGCCUAUCAGCUUGUUGGUGAGGUAAGGGGUCACAAAGGCGAAGACGGGUGGCCGGCCUGAGAGGGUGACCGGCCACAAUGGGACUGAGAAACGGCCCAGACUGCUACGGGAGGCAGCAGUGGGGAAUAUUGCACAAUGGGCGCAAGCCUGAUGCAGCGACGCCGCGUGAGGAAAGACGGCCUUCGGGUUGUAAACCUCUUUCAGUAGGGAAGAAGCGAAAGUGACGGUACCUGCAGAAGAAGCACCGGCUAACUACGUG
rnacentral:rRNA from 1 species